rnacentral:tRNA from 3 species
GCUUGUAUAGUUUAAUAAAAACAGUAGUCUUGUAAACUACAGUUGACUUGUCUAUAAGUA